CAGAAAAUUAAAUUUCCAGAGACUUGGUGAAGAUAGGAAAACUAUCAGAAAGACUAUAGCACUAUUGUACUUUGUUUGGGGGAAAAUAUGUUAGGCAAAGAUAUUAUAUGUAAAAUAUAGAGGAGAAUAUAUUAUAAUCAUGUUAAUAAUUUAUAAGAACUAAUCCUAUGCAGUUUUUAAAAAAUUGAAAAUGUGUUCUUAUAUACUGAGAUGAGAAUUUUACCAAUAGCAUUGAAAAAUAUUUCUAAUUCUAACAAGGAUUGGUCUAGUUUAUGUACAUUUGCUUAUUUAAAACUAUCAGAAUCCAGAAAAUCAUUGUAGUUUUGUAGGUUUGUGAUUUGUUUGGGUGACUUAUUGUUUAGGUUAUUUUGCAGAAUUAUUUAUUUGCUGAUUUAUUUAUGUAUUUCAUUAUUUAUUUAUUUGAUUAUUUAGUAAAUUAUUUAUCUGAUGAAUUAUUAAUACAUCUUCAUGACAUGCUUUAAAUUAUUUAUAACUUAAUUUUGAGUUUAUUGCUUUUAGACGCUGCAUUGUUACUGACUAGUUUUGAUUUUUUUUUCUUUGUGGUUCUUUAAAAUUAAAGUAUUAGCUCUAAGGCAAAGUAUAUUCAUUACUAUGCCCAGCGAUUUUUUUUUUUUUAGGUAAUUUAUGAUAGUGAUAAAAUUUCAGUUAUGUUUUGUUUAGCUCUAAUUUUACCUGUUUAGGGUUACUGGUGAUAGAAUAUGUGUGUUGUAUGCAUACUUACAAAUUAAUGAUGUAGCCUGUAGUGUGUAAACUGAGAUUGAACAUGUAAACCUCAGUCCACAUUAUCCUUGGUGUCUCUAAAGGGCAGCUCUGUAUUUCUUACUUGCUUUAGAAUAGAUAAUGGAGUCUUAUUCUAUUUUAGCGGCAAAGCUAUGUUACUACUGGAAUAUUUUUAGGAAAGUUUAGAGAAAUGAAGUCUAACUUAAAUGUGGAUCUCUGAGAUGUAAAUUUACCUGAUGUAACCUUUGUUUUUUUUUAAAUCCUCAUCAUAUGUGCAUUUGGAAAACAGCAUGAUGUUUAUGUGGAUUUUUAUAUCAGUCUUAGUGACAGAUUUAUUUGAUACCAUAUCUCUUAUGGAAAUUUUCAUAUGAGCUAAAAAUGGACAAAGGUCUUUAUAAAAGCAAGCUAUAGUUUCUCUGACUUUAAUAAUUCUCUUAUGUAGAGUUUCCAUAUUUAAUCAAAUAAGGUGUUUCUUCUUAGUUCUGACUCUUUCAUAAGGUAGCACAAGUUAUUAGGGCUCUCUCUUUGAAAGGGUUUAAUGAAUAUGUUAAAGUAGUUGUUUGGGUAAAAGAGCAUCAUGUGCACAAAUAGUCCUUAUCAUGUGUUUGCUUAGUGAAUUACUAUGUACUUUAGAGUUUUAGCAUUUCAAAGAAAAGCAGUAUUGUAAAUUUCAAGUCAGGUUGCUAUUGAAAUAUAGUGAAAAUGACCUCUGUAGACAGGUUUCACUAUAGAAUUGUAGAUUAUGCAUAUGUAAACCCAAGUUUAUUAUUUUGAAGUAUUGAACAUAUCAAUGUUUAAUUGGAAUAUUGCUUUGAUAUCUUCAUAUGCUUGCCUUAAAAGAAGCAGUUUUAUGUGGUUUGUAUACAUGGAUUUAAAAAUGUAUGUAUUGUAUAUAUUUGUGACUCUUCUGCUCUGGAGGUGAAUAGCCAAGAUAUUGUUAGAUAUAGAAUUCUGUUUUAAAAAGUACUUUAGGAUGUACAUGUGGACUUCUCUCGCAGAACAAAAGCUACCUUCUCCAGUGUUGAAUAAGAUCUAAUAUACUAGUUAUAUAAUAUACUCAACCCACAUUGUUAACAUGUUUCUUUGGAGUCCUAGCUGUGUCAUCCAAGUGAUCUUAACUGCAAGGUACACAUGUGUGCACUCACGCAUACACAUGUGUGAAAUUGUCACCUGAAUAGGACUUGUCUUUGGAUGGAGACAUUGAUAGAGAUUGUCAUAAUAACAGUUAGCAUUUACUGAGUACUUACUACGUGCAGGCACAGUGCUUGUAUCUGUUACGUGGAUUAUUUGUUCCUCUUCACAGUGAAUAAGUACAGUUAUUUUCAUUCUAAGAGUGAGGAAACAGAGACUUAGAGAUGUUAAGUAACUUGCUCAUUGCCAUUCAGGUGGCAGUAGAUGAUAACGCUGGGAUUGGAACUCUCCUAGUCUGAUUCCCAAGGGUUUUAACCCGUCACAGUUUUGUAUGUGUAGUUGGUACAAUGUAGUUGUUACCCGAGUUGAUUUUGUUUGUUUUUAGAGACUGUAUUUAUUUACAUCUCUGAUAAGUUUAACUUGCUAAGUAUACUCACUUUGUGUUACCUUUGGUCAUCUUUUUGAAACAGUAGGUGGUAUGAAUUUUCUGACUUGGUUCUUCUUAUUAUCCUGUGUAGUGGAUCUAAAUUAAAUACACAAGAAUUUGUGCCUCGGGGAGAUUGAAUUGUUCCUGGUGGAGGUCUAACACUCACUCAGAUCACUUGUUUUGACUCUUAAGCCCAAGGCCGCUUCCAGGGCCCUGUUAGGUCCAAUUUUGGUGAUGAGUGCCCUAGGUAACUGCAUUUGUAUGAAUGUUGGGGUACUGUGUGAAUCACUUGGUUUUAAGUUAGAUUUUUCAAGUAAAUAAUUAAUGUUACAUCACAGAAUGCUCAAAACCCAUGGCUUAGGUAAUAUGAAAUACUGAAAUAGCUAGAAUGACUGUAUAAUUUAUCUUCCAGUUCAGGAUAGUUUAAGAGUGGAGGAGUGCACUAUAAUAUGCCAGGACAAUAGGUGUAAACUGAUACCAUCCUGGGCAAAUUGAGUCAUGUGGUCACCCUAGUAAUAUUUCAAAGUCCUAUUGAGUAGGUCCUAAUAAUGUAUAUCAUGUGUGUUUAAGAGGAAUUUUAAUUCACAUGCAAUAUCUUUUAAAAUACUUUAUGAUAAAACAAAUCCGUUAUGGUUGGUGUUUAUGUAUUUUUAUUAACCAACAAAAGCAGUUUGUGGCUAUGACUUUCAUAAAGUGUGACUGCUGUUUUAUAACUUUUGGAACCUAUUUUCAAGGUGAAAGUAAAGAGCUAUCACGAUUGGGAACAUAAAGAUGAGUAUGGUAAAACUGGUCAUGGUACAGUAGAUCUGUUUUUCUUCGUAUCAUACAUGAUAGGAUGUUUUUACACUUGUUUUGCUUUGUAAAUCUCCUAAUUAAUGGCAUAUAUGACGUACUGAAAACUAAUUGUAUUUGUUAUACCUUCAGAAUGUAUAAUUUUGUUAGAUGAUCCAGAAGUCUUUCUUUCCCCUUAAAAAUCAUGUUACACAUCAUUUAUAUUGAUAAGUUGGCAGUUUUUAUGAAAACCUUUUUGAAAACACUGUUUUUCCUUGGUGAAAUUAUGUGUGGGGAAAAUAGGCAUUCAGAUUUUUUUGUAUGCUUUCUAAUUCCCUUUUGACAUGUAUUAAAGUCAUAAAUAGAAAUUAAAUUUUAAAUGUCCAGUUUUUUUUCCAUUUGGAGUAUAGAUGAUUUUUUAAGUUGAACUUGGUAACCACAGUGGCAUAUUUGUAUUUGAAUGUAUUUUAAAAUGAAAAAUUCUUAUUCAAUAGUUUAUUCACACCUAUGUGUAAUAUCAGAAGUCUCUUUGUUCGGAAAGGCCUAUUAUGCCUUGUAACAAAGGUAAGAGCUUUAAUAUAUUCUGUCUUGAGUUUGUCACACUCUGAAGCACUUUGUGAAAUACUACUAUAGUUGUAAAAGUAAUAACAUAGCUUGUGUGUUGGCUCUGAGAGUAGCUCCUUUAUAAUUAUGACAAGUGAAAGUACAGCCAAAGGUCAUGUUAAACACAAAAUUUCUUUCACACCUCAUCUGUUCUGUGGCUGGCAUGUGAAGUAGUUUGGGUCCUGCACUGACAUUUUAAGAUAGCUACCCAAAGGUGUUCCCGUGGAAGUGUUUGAAAUACCUUGCCCUUACCUCCCUACCUCCCUUGUGGUUGCAAAAUUUGGCAUGGAUGUGUAUUUGAAUCCUCCACUAAUUAAACAGAACCUUAUUAACUUAAGAGAUUGCAGAGGAAAAUAGGGGACUCUCAUUCUACAGGGAUUUCUUAGAGCACUAGGUAAUACUGACAUGUAUUCUGUCCUGUCUUUAAUAUUACUGAGUCCUGUGCUGACUAAUGCAGUGUCUUAAUAUUGAUCACCUUAGUAUUGAUGUUGCUUAAUGAAAUACUACAAACCAAACAACAUACCAGUAACCACAAAAACAAAAUAAAAUCACAUAAGUUAAAUUGUGAAAUGAAAGCAUGGUAUGCCUAUACGUGUGCCAUCUAUUGAUUAGGUCCAAUAUGGCUAAGUAAAAGUUGGAGUAUUGAAAAGGUCACAUAUAGGAAAGCUUUUUAUUAAAAACUUAUAUAGAGAGACUGUACAUGUGUUGUAUAGUGGCUAACAAAUCUCUUUAAGCUUCUAUACACAGUGUCAAAAAAUACAGGCUGAAGAAAGAAUGUUUGGAAGAGGAUUAAAUCAUCAUGUUAGAAUUUUUAGUAUAGUGUUUCUUUCUGUUUUGAAACACUUUUUUUUAUACUGUUCCCUACCAUACCAUGCUUCAUGCUGUAAGACUUUUAGAAUCUGAAUUAUAAACAAGGGUGAUACAGCUCAUUAAGGGGAAUUUUGGAAAUUAGGAGGGGUGUUGUCACUUGUUAUGAUAAUGGUGGGAAGGUUUUGGCAUUUAAUGGAUGGGGAGCAGGGAUGCUAGGUAUCUUACAAUGCAUGGGACAGAUUUAGGCUGCAAGAAAUUGUUCUGAGUGUCCCAUAACUUUUGAAUGUUUGCUUAUUUAAACUCCUCAAAGAUAAAGCAGUAAUACUUCAGUAUAGAAUAAUAAUGACAAUUUUUUUGUAAAGUGUUAAAUGAAUCUGAUAGUUUAGGGAAAGUUUGUGUGGAGGGGAAGCUUACAUAGAAUAAAGAAAUUCUCUCAAAAUUAUAUGUACUUCUCAUGUUCUUUCUACUUCCUGAUUUAUAAUUUCUAACUAAAUAUUUAGUGGAAAACUUUUCAUUUCAGUAAUUUCAUUUCAUUCCAGUUUACUGGAAGCUUUGUUAUACUGAUUGCAGAUCUGUAACAGAGGCUGUUUAAGACUCUUUCAACAACAAACUAAAUUUUAAGUUGAUGGAUCUAAAUUAAAUUGAAUUUUAUUAGUUAAUAAGGAUUGUUUAAAGAUAUUUUAUGAUUGCCAUCCUAAAUAUUAGUUUCAUUUUUAGAACGAUAGUAAAUAUAAUGUUCAUUUUUAAAAAUUAUUUCUUUUUAUGUUAGUUUUCACUAUUACUCUGGUAGCAUUUUCAGUAAUCUAUUAGACACCUUCUCUGUAACUUUUUAUAUUUCUUUACCCACCACAUUGGCUCUUUUAUAUUUUGGGAGGAUAUAGUCUUUUUGUAGUAUUUUUAGCUACUGGAGACUUAAUGCUUUGACCAUGUGGUAGGUUUUCUGGGAUAACCACCCUGUAACAACCUUAGCAUAGAUAAUUAUUUUGACAGUACACUUAGUACAACUGACCUGGGUUUUAUUUCUAAUAACCACAUUCUAUAAUAUUCUCCAUUUCAACAGUAUGUAAUUUGUCUUGACAUUUUAGUCUUUAUUUCAUUUAAGCUUAUUCCUAUCUUUAUCUUCACAUUCAAUUUAAUUUUUGUCUGUAACUACUUAUCUCAGUAAUAGUUUUUAUUCUAGAAUUCUCCUAUGCCUCUCCUCUUUCAUUUUUUUGGUAUUCUUAUAGAAAAUGACUUGUGAUCUUUUUCUCCUUUCACCCAAACUUAUUUAUUACACAUAGAUGCAAAUGUAUGACUAUUGUAUUCACUCUUCUUAAGUAUUUAUGCCUAAGCAUUAACAUAAUGAAAUAAGUAUUUUGUUAUAAAUUAGUUUUAUUUUUUAUUAACAUUAUAGUUAGGGAAUUAAUAUUGGUAUUAAAAAAACCAUGUGUAGGUAGAUUUUAUUAUCCCUGAAUUUCAUUUCAGGAUAGUACAGGGAAUGAAGGGAACAUUGGAUCUCUGGGAUUGAGAACCACUCUUUAAGAAAUGAGCACUUAUUCUGCAGAGCUCUUCUGGCUCU
rnacentral:lncRNA from 1 species